rnacentral:sRNA from 20 species
AGGUAAUUGAGUAUAUGGGGACGAAUGUCUUACAUUCAACGAUAACAAUGCGAGGAAAAAGAAAUGGGGGAUAAAAUCCCCCAUUGUCAUACUAACC